CUCCAGGGCAGAGUCCUUCCGGGUCCUCAGCCUGAAAACCUCCCCAGAGGGACCAGGGUACAGCCUCUGGAGGUUGGGGGGCGCCGUGAGAGAAAGGAAAAGGAGGAAGGGAGACGUGUGCUCGUGUGUGCAUUUAUUCCUUCUUCCUAAUCACGAUCCUUUACAUCCACACCCCCUCCCCCAGCAAUUUAGAAAAAUGCCAGUCUCUGCCUCACCUCUGCCUCACCCUUCUGGAGAUGCUUCCACUGCGUCCUCUCCAUCCACAGAUACCUCUCCGGCCGUUACAGGAAGAACAGGACUGCCACCGGGAAGGUCCAGUGCCAGACGCCGGGCUAGUGCGAGGCAAGCGAGAGGAGAACGCCGGGAUCCUGAGCAUUGGAAGAGGGGCCACGUCUUGCUAGUCAUCCUUCCUACUGGGAUGGGUCAAAGGUGGAGGGUGGGACAGACCCAAGCUGCCCUCCACAGGCCUGCAGUAGGUUGUGAAGAGUGAACAUAUGUGACGCACUUAGAGUAGGGAACCAAGCCACACAGCAGGAGGUGAGUGGCAGGUGAGUGAAACUUCAUCUGUAUUUACAGCUUCUCCCUGUUGCUCACAUUACCACCUGAGCUCCACUUCCUGUCAGAUCAGCAGUGGCAUUAGAUUCUCAACAGGAUUGUGAACCCUGCUGUGAACUGUGCAUAUGAGAGAUCUAGAUUGUGUGCUCCUUAUGAGGAUCUAAUUAACGCCCGAUGGUCUGAGGCAGAGCUGAGGUGGUGAUGCUGGUGCUGAGGAGCAGCUACAAAUAUAGAUUAUCAUCAGCAGAGAGGUUUGACUGCACAAAGACCAUAAUAAAUCAUUUGCUUGAAGACAUAUCAAAACCAUAUCAGUGAGUGGUAAGUGACAAUUAAGCUGCAUCUGGUGGCAAGC